rnacentral:misc_RNA from 1 species
GAAUAGCUAUCAGAGUCUGAGGCAACAACAGUGCGAGGUUCCUUGAAAAACAGGAGGUCGUAUCUUAGCGGGGUUCCUUGAAAAACAGGAGGCCGCACCUCUCACAUCCUGAACCAAACUGUGAACCCACCUUUUGCUUCGGCAGCGGGGUGUCGCCUUCAGGCGACCGCCCGUCAGCCUGCCGGAAGCCCCCCCCAAGCAAACCAUUUUGUAGAAACGUCGUAGUCUGUACACAAACUUUAAACAAGUUA